GACGAACGCUGGCGGCGUGCCUAAUACAUGCAAGUCGAGCGGAUCUGAUGAAGUGCUUGCACUUCUGAUGGUUAGCGGCGGACGGGUGAGUAACACGUAGGCAACCUGCCUGCAAGCCCGGGAUAACAUUCGGAAACGAAUGCUAAGACCGGAUACGCAGCUUGGUCGCAUGACUGAGCUGGGAAAGACGGAGCAAUCUGUCGCUUGUAGAUGGGCCUGCGGCGCAUUAGCUAGUUGGUGAGGUAACGGCCCACCAAGGCGACGAUGCGUAGCCGACCUGAGAGGGUGAACGGCCACACUGGGACUGAGACACGGCCCAGACUCCUACGGGAGGCAGCAGUAGGGAAUCUUCCACAAUGGACGCAAGUCUGAUGGAGCAACGCCGCGUGAGUGAGGAAGGCCUUCGGGUCGUAAAGCUCUGUUGCCAGGGAAGAACGCCUAGGAGAGUAACUGCUCUUAGGGUGACGGUACCUGAGAAGAAAGCCCCGGCUAACUACGUGCCAGCCGCCGCAGUAAUAC
rnacentral:rRNA from 1 species